rnacentral:rRNA from 1 species
ACGAACGCUGGCGGCGCGCCUAACACAUGCAAGUCGAACGGAGCUGAGAGAAGCUUGCUUUUCUUAGCUUAGUGGCGAACGGGUGAGUAACGCGUGAGUAACCUGCCCUGGAGUGGGGGACAACAGUUGGAAACGACUGCUAAUACCGCAUAAGCCCACGAUCCGGCAUCGGAUUGAGGGAAAAGGAUUUAUUCGCUUCAGGAUGGACUCGCGUCCAAUUAGCUAGUUGGUGAGGUAACGGCCCACCAAGGCGACGAUUGGUAGCCGGACUGAGAGGUUGAACGGCCACAUUGGGACUGAGACACGGCCCAGACUCCUACGGGAGGCAGCAGUGGGGGAUAUUGCACAAUGGGGGAAACCCUGAUGCAGCGACGCCGCGUGGAGGAAGAAGGUUUUCGGAUUGUAAACUCCUGUCGCUAGGGACGAUAAUGACGGUACCUAACAAGAAAGCACCGGCUAACUACGUG